UCUUAUAUAUUGUAUCUUUAUUAUAGCAUAUUCUCUAUACAAGUAUUUUGUGCACAAUUAAAUAAAACAUUGACAAAAAUGUCAACAGCUUCAGGUAACAUGUCAAUGAACAGCUCAUGUGUGACAGGAAAAAUAAUUCUGCCUUCAGUCAGUGUGUGAAAUAGCACCUUUGAUUCACAAAAACUAACAAAAAGAAUCAUUUACUACUUCAACAAUCUAUUUAACGUGUCUAAGUAUAUGUUUCAUAUCUAUACACAGGCAUAAUAUAGAGCAGUUAAACACAUUUCACUAACACCGAGUCUAAUUGCACUAUAGUGUCUCAAUCACUGGCAUAUGAACAUGAAAAAUCAUAUUUCACUGAUUUCUCCCAGUGAAAGGACAACAAAACCUGAAAUCACCUACAUUAAGUUGUCUGGCGUA